UCAUGCUCUCAUGUAAAAAAAUUAUUCAAGCACAUAUUAUUAAUACGCGAACGUGAUUAAUAAAUAUACAUGUUUUAUUAGUAUAAGAGACAACAAUUUGAGUCGUCGAACACUCAAAUCUAGAGACAUGCAAGAUAGAAGAGCACAAAGAUCAGAUGAAGAAAGGGAACAAAUCAAUGCAGAUGUCCGUUUGAGCAUGGAGCAGUUACGUGCAUCACAAUUGCAAGAGACACGAGAUGACUGGAACCAGCAAAGACAAUUAGAAAGAAGGGAAGCGCACAGAUUCGUAGUCAACAGCCGUAGAGGAAUUGACCGACAACGUCAACAAGUAAAUCGAGCAUUUACAGCACAUUCAUUUCUUCACCUAGCAUUUCACUAUGAGCCUGAUGUUGAAUAUGACGCUCAUUCCAAAGUGGUCAUUGGACGAGGAAUGCCCGCACUGCCAUGCCUUUACAUUAAAAAAUGAGCUGAUUGGGAUAUAUUGCUCAUCAGGAAAGAUUCUUCGCUAUUCUUGCAGUCAAUUCGAAAAUUAAUUUCAUGCUUUCAAAUGACAUCGUUUGGAUCAACGGAAAUAGUUAAUAAUACUGCUGCAAAUGGUCAACAAUUUAAUUCCACAUUCAAAAUCAAAGGCCAAGUUUACCACAAUGGGCGAUUUUCCGUGAUA
rnacentral:sRNA from 1 species